CAGCAGCCGCGGUAACACAGAGGGUGCGAGCGUUAAUCGGAUUUACUGGGCGUAAAGCGUGCGUAGGCGGCUUCUUAAGUCGGAUGUGAAAUCCCUGAGCUUAACUUAGGAAUUGCAUUCGAUACUGGGAAGCUAGAGUAUGGGAGAGGAUGGUAGAAUUCCAGGUGUAGCGGUGAAAUGCGUAGAGAUCUGGAGGAAUACCGAUGGCGAAGGCAGCCAUCUGGCCUAAUACUGACGCUGAGGUACGAAAGCAUGGGGAGCAAACAGGAUUAGAUACCCCGGUAGUCCCUGUCUCUUAUAA
rnacentral:rRNA from 1 species